UCUAAGUAAUUAACAAAUUAAAAAUUGGUCUUUGCCAUUUGUGUGAUUCUCAUUGGACAAACUCAAAUACUUUUGUACUUCCAUUGGUACGAUUCCCAAAAUUUUACUUCUUCCUUCAUCCUCUCUCUUGCAGACAACAUGACCUUUCCUUUCUCUAUCGUUCUCUCGCCUCUCCAAACACCACACCCCCCAAACCCUAGAUCACUAUCUCUCUAUCUCUUCCGCGCCGCCCCUAUUCCUUUAACUUUUCGCCUCUAUUCCUCUAAUUUCACAAAUCUGUUUCUCUAUCCAAUAGCAUAUUUCUAUCUAUCUCUCCAAACCCUAGAAUCUUCGUUACCGAAAACAAUGGAACCGAAGAAGGUGAAGGUUGCAAAAUAUAUUUCCAAUUUUUCUUCAUAUAGAGGGAUUAUUUGUCUAUGGUGGUCGUUCCCCCUGCUUGCGUAAUCUAAUGGUUUAUUUAUUUCCUUUUUUCUUCGUUUGCUACUGGUUUUCUUAAGGUUAUAACAAAGAUAGCAUUUUGUUUUGGAUUUGUUGAACUGAAAAUAUUGAUGUUGGUUUUGAAUGGCUUCCCAUUGCAGUUUGUGUAGAGCAACAAUAAGUGGCUUACGAGGUCGCAGGUUGAUGAAGAAGCUCAUUAUUUGUCUAAUCUACAAAAGCAUUUCUCUAUGAAAGUUUAAACUGUUCAUCAUCUUCCACGGGUAGAGCAAAAGACUUUAUUGGUUCUUUCUCUGCAAAUUCAGGUGGUACUGAUGACUCCGGCUAAGAAGAGACUUAUGAGAGGUUUUAAUGAUUGCAACAAGAUCCACCUAUAGAGAGAAGUGAUGCUCUUCAGGAUAACAAUAUAUUAUGGAAUGCUAUCAUAUUUGGGUGAUUUAGAUUGAUAAUUGUAUAAAAGCUGCAAAUGGUUAUGUAUACUUGUAUAAUAUAGUCACUUUUGUUUUAUUUUA